UACGGAGGGAGCUAGCGUUAUUCGGAAUUACUGGGCGUAAAGCGCACGUAGGCGGCUUUGUAAGUAAGAGGUGAAAGCCCAGAGCUCAACUCUGGAAUUGCCUUUUAGACUGCAUCGCUUGAAUCAUGGAGAGGUCAGUGGAAUUCCGAGUGUAGAGGUGAAAUUCGUAGAUAUUCGGAAGAACACCAGUGGCGAAGGCGGCUGACUUGGACAUGUAUUGACGCUGAGGUGCGAAAGCGUGGGGAGCAAACAGG
rnacentral:rRNA from 1 species